rnacentral:rRNA from 1 species
UACGUAGGGUGCAAGCGUUAAUCGGAAUUACUGGGCGUAAAGCGUGCGCAGGCGGCUAUGCAAGACAGAUGUGAAAUCCCCGGGCUCAACCUGGGACCUGCAUUUGUGACUGCAUGGCUAGAGUACGGUAGAGGGGGAUGGAAUUCCGCGUGUAGCAGUGAAAUGCGUAGAUAUGCGGAGGAACACCGAUGGCGAAGGCAAUCCCCUGGACCUGUACUGACGCUCAUGCACGAAAGCGUGGGGAGCAAACAGG